rnacentral:rRNA from 1 species
GACGAACGCUGGCGGCGUGCUUAACACAUGCAAGUCGAACGGAAAGGCCUCUCUCGGGGGGUACUCUAGUGGCGAACGGGUGAGUAACACGUGAGUAACCUGCCCUUGACUUUGGGAUAACUUCAGGAAACUGGGGCUCAUACCCGAUAUGAGCUCCUGCUCCAUGGUGGGGGUUGGAAAGUUUCGGCGGUUGGGGAUGGACUCUCGGCUUAUCACCUUGUUGGUGGGGUUGUGGCUUAUCAAGGCUUUGACGGGUAGCCGGCCUGGGAGGGUGACCGGCCACAUUGGGGAUGGGGUACCGGCCAGACUCCCACGGGGGGCAGGAGUGGGGAAUAUUGCAAAAUGGGUGGGAGCCUGAUGCAGCAACGCCGUGUGCGGGAUGACGGCCUUCGGGUUGUAAACCGCUUUUGCUCAUGCAGAAGCUUUGUGUGACGGUAGUGGGUAAAGAAGCACCGGCUAACUACGUG